UAAGCUGUUCGCAAAACCUAAUAAUUCUCUGUUGCCUUGUCUCUUUCGCAUGCAAUCCAAAUUGGAUCUGCGAUUCUUAGUUUUAGUUUGGGUCACUGUGAGGAAAAGCUUUUGGCGCAGUGGUCUUGGCAUUUCUGGACAAAAUUGAAGUGAUAUGGAGCAAACAGAACCACCCAAGUCCCGUUUGAAAGUGGAGAUGGAGAUGGAGAUGGACAGAAUCAGCAACUUACCAAGUAAUGUUAUAAAUAAAAUUCUGUCAUGUUUGACUCUUAAGGAGGCAGUGAGGACAAGUGUUUUUUCGAGCAGGUGGAGGAACAAAUGGGCUAUGCUUUCAGGUCUUAUAUUUGAUGAGUAGUGUUUCUCGACUGAAAACUGUGCAACCUUCGUGAACAUUGUUUAUCAUGUACUCUUAAGUCACAUUGUCCCCAUAGAGAAGUUUGUGCUUUCUCACGCACAUGUUAUGCCUACAAUAGAUAUUGAUCGGUGGGUUCUUCAUCUAUCAAGAAACUCUAUUAAAGUUUUCGAACUUCGUAUUCCUGAUGGGCCACAAUACAAGAUGCCAUUAUGUUUUUUUUUCUUAUCAAGAUAUGAUUGAGCUGAAGUAUCUCAGUGCUUGCUGAAACCUCCAGCCACAUUUAAAGGCUUCAGAACUUUGAAGAGAGUUAGAUUUGAGCGUGUUACCUUGGCCCAAGAUGUGUUGGAAAAUCUGAUUCUUUGCUGUCCUCUGCUGGAGAUUUUGGCAAUUAUAAACUGUAGUGGCUUUGCCCAUCUCAAGAUUGGUGCACCAAAUCUUCGAUUCCUUUUUUUCUAUGGUGGCUUGGGAGAUUUUAGUCUACAGAAUACCUUAAAUCUUGCUAUUGUUCACUUUAAUUUGUGGGUCAUUUAUCAGGGACAAGAUCGUGUCAGUUCCUAUUUGUCAAAAUUUUUCGUUGACCUGCGUCAUAUUCAGAGGCUCACAAUUGAUGGUGUGGCUUUAAAGUAUUUGAAUAUUGGUGACUUGCCUGGAAGGCUCCCCAAGGCCCAAACCAUGUCUACAUCUAAAUUUUCUUUCUCUCCUCGUAGACUUUAAUGUUCUUGCGGAAAUUUUAACUACUAUAUAUCUUCUGAGAAGCUCCCCUGCUCUGAAAGUACUACAUGU